rnacentral:rRNA from 1 species
UACGGAGGAUGCAAGCGUUAUCCGGAAUGAUUGGGCGUAAAGCGUCCGCAGGUGGCGAUGUAAGUCUGCUGUUAAAGAGUGAGGCUCAACCUCAUAAGAGCAGUGGAAACUACAUAGCUAGAGUACGUUCGGGGCAGAGGGAAUUCCUGGUGUAGCGGUGAAAUGCGUAGAGAUCAGGAAGAACACCAGUGGCGAAGGCGCUCUGCUAGGCCGUAACUGACACUGAGGGACGAAAGCUAGGGGAGCGAAUGGGAUUAGAUACCCCAGUAGUCCUAGCCGUAAACGAUGGAUACUAGGCGUGGCUUGUAUCGACCCGAGCCGUGCCGUAGCUAACGCGUUAAGUAUCCCGCCUGGGGAGU